rnacentral:rRNA from 1 species
GACGAACGCUGGCGGCGUGCCUAAUACAUGCAAGUCGAACGCAUUUUCUUUCACCGUAGCUUGCUACACCGAAAGAAAAUGAGUGGCGAACGGGUGAGUAACACGUGGGCAACCUGCCCAUCAGCGGGGGAUAACACUUGGAAACAGGUGCUAAUACCGCAUAAUUCCAUUUACCGCAUGGUAGAGGGAUGAAAGGCGCUUUUGCGUCACUGAUGGAUGGACCCGCGGUGCAUUAGCUAGUUGGUGGGGUAACGGCCUACCAAGGCUGCGAUGCAUAGCCGACCUGAGAGGGUGAUCGGCCACACUGGGACUGAGACACGGCCCAGACUCCUACGGGAGGCAGCAGUAGGGAAUCUUCGGCAAUGGACGCAAGUCUGACCGAGCAACGCCGCGUGAGUGAAGAAGGUUUUCGGAUCGUAAAACUCUGUUGUUAGAGAAGAACAAGGAUGAGAGUGGAAAGUUCAUCCCUUGACGGUAUCUAACCAGAAAGCCACGGCUAACUACGUG